CGUAGAAUAAGUGUGAUCUUUCGAAAAUCACUUCCGUUUACCAAAUAACUUACAUGCUCUGCAUCUAUUAAGUAAUCCCAUCAAAGCUUAAAUACCUAAGAAUGUUUUAGUGAUGGUAAAACUACAAAGUUUCUAGAAGUGUGUUUUUCAGAGGUUAAGACGUGGAACGAGUUUCGCGGAAUUAAUGAAAUGAAGCAUGAAGGAAUUAUUGAUGUGAAGGAGAAUUGUUGAAAUGAAGGCAGGAUGAAAUAUUAAUGCAAUUAUUGGAAAAUAAAAGCACUGAUCCAUUGUAAA